rnacentral:rRNA from 1 species
GUGGGGAAUUUUCCGCAAUGGGCGAAUGCCUGACGGAGCAAUGCCGCGUGGAGGUGGAAGGCCUACGGGUCGUCAACUUCUUUUCUCGGAGAAGAAACAAUGACGGUAUCUGAGGAAUAAGCAUCGGCUAACUCUGUGCCGG